rnacentral:rRNA from 1 species
GUGGGGAAUUUUGGACAAUGGGCGCAAGCCUGAUCCAGCCAUGCCGCGUGCAGGAAGACGCAUCUAUGGUGUGUAAACUGCUUUUGUACGGGAAGAAACACUCCCUCGUGAGGGAGCUUGACGGUACCGUAAGAAUAAGGAUCGGCUAACUCCGUGCCAGCAGCCGCGGUAAUACGGAGGAUCCAAGCGUUAUCCGGAAUCAUUGGGUUUAAAGGGUCCGUAGGCGGUUUAAUAAGUCAGUGGUGAAAGCCCAUCGCUCAACGAUGGAACGGCCAUUGAUACUGUUAGACUUGAAUUACAAGGAAGUAACUAGAAUAUGUAGUGUAGCGGUGAAAUGCGUAGAUAUUAGGAGGAACACCAGUGGCGAAGGCGGCUUUCUGGACUGUAACUGACACUGAGGCACGAAAGCGUGGGGAGCAAACAGGAUUAGAAACCCGAGUAGUCC